rnacentral:rRNA from 1 species
AUUGAACGCUGGCGGCAGGCCUAACACAUGCAAGUCGCACGAGUGGCGGACGGGUGAGUAAUGUCUGGGAAACUGCCUGAUGGAGGGGGCUCACUACUGGAAACGGUAGCUAAUACCGCAUACAAUCAGAUGUGCCCAGAUGGGAUUAGCUUUUUGGUGGGGUAACGGAUCACCAAGGCGACGAUCACUAGAGGGUAUGAGAGGAUGACCCGCAACACGGGAACUGAGACACGGUCCAUACUCCUACGGGAGGCAGCAGUGGGGAAUAUUGCACAAUGGGCGCAAGCCUGAUGCAGCCAUGCGGCGUGUAUGAAGAAGGCCUUCGGGUUGUAAAGUACUUUCAGCGGGGAGGCGUUACCCGCAGAAGAAGCACCGGCUAACUCCGUGCCAGCAGCCGCGGUAAUUC